UUUGGAUUAAAAAGAAAAAAAAAAUUAACGAACAAUUUCUUGACUCUGAAAUCUUCUUCUUCUCCCAGCCGUGCUCUCCUCUUCGUCGCUGUUCCCUGCCGCCUCAGUCACCGUCGUCUCCUCUCUCCCAGAAGCCUUGUAAUCGCCGACGUCGCCUCCCAGUCCUCUGCUAAGCCUCUCCUCGGCUUCUCAGUUCAGGACUUUCCUCAGUUUCGAGUUCGAUUAUGUCGAAGGACAAGGACUCUACCAAUUUGUCACGCACCUUCAAAUACCUCUUAGCUACUCAAUUCUUGUCAAGAGGAAUUCCAUUUAUAUUCAAUACAUGGAUUGUAACUUGUAAGGCAUCUUACACAAGAGGACUAUGCGCUAUAUGCAGUGCAGUUUCAUCUGUUUGUCACAUGUGUUUUAUUUCUUAGUCGGGAAGGCUUCCGGCAAGCAUGCGUGCGCAUGGAAAUGCAAAGUGAUUGCAAUACAAAAGAUGUUGUGAAGCUAAUGAAAGUAGUGUGGAUGAGUUUCCCGCUUGGAAUAUUUAUUACAAUAGUGGCAUGCUCUUUUGUUCUAUGGUUGCAAGGCCUAAGUUAUUCUAGUUCACUUGGGCAAGCUGUCUUGAUCAAUGGUCUUGCAUGCAUUUUGGAGCUUUUAGCUGAGCCUUUGUAUAUUCUUUCACAGAACUUGGUCUUGCUUGAAUUAAGAUUGAUGGUUGAGACAGUAGCUACUAUUUCACGAUGCUUGACAAUGUACUUUCUACUUGUCAAGAAAUCUCAAAUGG